GUUUCAUUUAUAUUUAUAAUAGAACUUUAUUUUUUAGUUAAAAAGCUAAAAUAAAUUUAAAAGACGAGAAGACCCUAUAAAUCUUUAUUAUUUAAUAUUCUAUUAAUUUAUGUAAGAUGAAAUUUUUAAUUAGUAUUUAGAUAAUUUUAUUGGGGUGAUAUUAAAAUUUAUAAAACUUUUAAUAAUAUAAAUCAUUAAUUAAUGAAUUUAUGAUCCGUUAUUAACGAUUAAAAAAUUAAGUUACUUUAGGGAUAACAGCGUAAUUUUUUUGGAGAGUUCUUAUCGAUAAAAAAGUUUGCGACCUCGAUGUUGGAUUAAGAUUCUUAUUUAAAUGUAGAAGUUUAAAUAUAAAGUCUGUUCGACUUUAAAAUCUUACAUGAUCUGAGUUCAAACCGGUGUAAGCCAGGUUGGUUUCUAUCUUUAAAUCAAUAAAAUAUUUUAGUACGAAAGGAAUGAAUAUUUAAAUUUAAUUUUUAAUAUAGAAU
rnacentral:rRNA from 1 species